rnacentral:rRNA from 1 species
UACGUAGGGGGGCUAGCGUUGUCCGGAAUCAUUGGGCGUAAAGCGCGCGUAGGCGGCCCGGUAAGUCCGCUGUAAAAGUCCAGGGCUCAACCCUGGAAAGCCGGUGGAUACUGUCGGGCUCGAGUCCGGAAGAGGCGAGUGGAAUUCCUGGUGUAGCGGUGGAAUGCGCAGAUAUCAGGAGGAACACCAAUGGCGAAGGCAGCUCGCUGGGACGGUACUGACGCUAAGGCGCGAAAGCGUGGGAGCAAACAGGAUAGAACC